rnacentral:rRNA from 1 species
GUUGAACGCUGGCGGCAGGCCUAACACAUGCAAGUCGAGCGAAGCGGCGGACGGGUGAGUGAUGCCUAGGAGUAUGCCUGGUAGUGGAGGAUGACGUCCGGCAACGGGCGCUAAUACCGCAUCCGAUCAGAUGACCCUAGGUCGUAUUAGCGAGUUGGUGUGGUAAAGGCCUACAAAGGCGACGAUCCGUAACUGGUCUGAGAGGAUGAUCAGUCACACUGGAACUGAGACACGGUCCAGACGCCUACGGGAGGCAGCAGUGGGGAAGCUUGGAAAAUGGGCGAAAGCCUGAUGCAGCAAUGCCGCGGGGGUGAAGAAGGUCUUCGGAUUGUAAAGCACUUGAAGUUGGGAGGCGUUACCAAAAGAAUAAGCACCGGCUAACUACGUGCCAGCAGCCGCGGUAAUUC